CCACUGAAGACAUUUGUCUGCUGAGAAAAUAGACUCUGACAGCAAAGGUCAUUGCAACCAAUUCUAAGUCUCAGAAUACAAAUAUCCCUUUUAACUGUUGGCUUCACAACUGACCGUGUCCCAUUAUUGAUAAAUCCUUGAAAAGAGUCUAAUGUAUCUUCAUUUCGGAAAACAACUGCAUUCAAGGUUGCCAUAAAAAAAUGUAAGCUGCCU